UUCAGGCCUAACACAUGCAAGUCGAGCGCGUCCCUUCGGGGGCGAGCGGCGCACGGGUAGUAACGCGUGGGAACCUACCCUGGGGUAGGGGAUAACCGCUGGAAACGGCGGCUAAUACCCUAUACGUCCUGAGGGAGAAAGAUUUAUCGCCCUGGGAUGGGCCCGCGUCGGAUUAGCUAGUUGGUGGGGUAACGGCUCACCAAGGCGACGAUCCGUAGCUGGUCUGAGAGGAUGAUCAGCCACACUGGGACUGAGACACGGCCCAGACUCCUACGGGAGGCAGCAGUGGGGAAUAUUGGACAAUGGGCGCAAGCCUGAUCCAGCCAUGCCGCGUGAGUGAAGAAGGCCCUAGGGUUGUAAAGCUCUUUCACCCGCGAAGAUGAUGACANC
rnacentral:rRNA from 1 species